GCGCAAGCUAGCAGCGGCGGAAACGAUGAACGUGCUGCGCUUUCUCUAAAACGUGUGAGCCUUGGGAAAGUCUCGUCUUUUUUGUGGCCCCUGCUGGAAAAGGUUUGGACACCCCUGGACUAGACAGUGUGAAUCCUAUCAUGUCCCAUUCCUGGUCACCAUUGACUGGAUUACGAGGAAGACCACGUCAGAUAAACCAAGGUGCAUUCAGUGGACACCUGCCUCACACUUGCAAGAUCUUGACUUUGCAGAUGACCUGGCUGUUCCCUCCACAAAACAGCCAGGAGAAGACUGAUAGACAAAACGGGCGUUAACAUCAACAUAGCCAAAACUCAAGAGAUGUUUAUUCACAACAGCAGAUCUACACCAAUAAAUCACACUUGGAAUUGUAGAUGAUUGUAGAUGAUUUUACCUACUUGGGCGGCCUCAUCAGGAAGGACAAGGGGGCACAAAAAGACAUCAAGGCAAGACAACCUCGCCUCACCUGGAAAUCCAAAAUGGACAGUGAGAAGUUCAAGAUUUGCCUUUGUAAAAUCUGUUCUGAUGUAUGGAUCAGAAGUUACCAAGUCUGAUAAGUGAACAAUUGAGUCUUUCCACAAUAAAUGUCUACGCAGGAUCUGAUGCAUUUACUGGCCAACAAGGUAACCAAUUGUGAGCUGUACAAAAUGACAGUGAUGACGUUGUUGAAGAGAUCAAGUGAAUCCAAUGGCUCGGUCAUGUACUGAAGAUGGAUAGAGAUUGUAUCCCCAAAACAGCCUUAAGAUGGACACCACCGGAAAAUAGAAAGCCAGGAAGACCAAUAAUUACUACUACAAUGAAUCGUACAUGUGGCCAGGUACAGUACCUAGCCAAGGACAACAACAGAUGGACAGAACUCUGUGGCCUUAUGUCCCAGUUGGGACGAAGAGGAUUAAGUAAAUAAUUAUGAGAAACAAACAAAAAAAUAUUAAGUUGUCAUUUUUGGAAAAUUAGGUUGGGGAAAAAUUAUAAUAUAAUGGGAUUAAAGUCAAAAUAUUAUGGUAAUAAAGUCAUAAUAUUACCAAAAGAAAAUUUACAAAGAUUAUUUAAGAAGAAAGUUGAAAUAUUUGGGAAAAAGCAAAGUCCAAAGUUCACAUAAUAAUAUGCUUUUUCCACCUAGAUCACAAAGCCGAGAUGCAGUUUUAUCUUGAAACGUAUAUAACUUCUUAGCAUGUCUACAUGUGUUGCUUUACAACAUGUAUACCUUCUUAUCUACAUGUGUUGCUUUACAACAUGUAUACCUUCUUAUCUACAUGUGUUGCUUUACAACAUGUAUAACUUCUUAGCAUGUCUAACAUGCCAAAGUGGCCCUUGUAUCCUGUUGUUUUCACUAUGUGGCCCUACACCCCUGGCGUAGACAAAAGUCAAUCUGGCUGGCUUUACAUCACGAUAGAGCAUGAUAUGCUGCUUGCUCCUAUGCCUCACAGAACUCAAAACAGAGAAAAAAAAUACAGCAUGUGAGCUACGUUUUUACGUUGUGUCGUGAUCGACAUUGCUGAUUAGUGGUAUGAUACUGGAUAGUAUAAGAAACCUGCUGAUGCCAGAAUCAGUGCUUCAUAUGCCCCAUACGGCAGUAAAUUCCUACAGUCUAAGUAGUGCAGUGACCAUUGUUAAAAACCGUGCGCAGAAUAAACAGGAAACAUUUGAAAGCCUUGUGUCCUCAUGCUGCCUCAGCGGUGCCGCGGUGCUCACAAAGCACAAUUCAACUCUGACUGAGCAUCAGGAGUUUCCUGAGAUAUUCCGACCCCUCCACAGGACGGACUCUCCUCUGUGUCCAGUGUGACUCGUGAAGUUGUUGGAUUAGUGACGACCUUCAGUGUCAUUUCCUCUCAGCUGCCAAAGCAGCACCCAAGGGUGGCUAUGGCCCUCUCAAUGUCAAUGCGGACCUUUUUAAGAUUAACGACUACUUGUUUCCUGAAUCUGCUGGACUUCUCCUGAGUGGGCUUAGAAAUGACCCUUGACCAGCAACAAAAUCUUUAAAAAACUGUUGAGGUCAUAUUGUUUUUACCCAGAAUGUAUGCUAUACACGUCUCGCACAUCAGCGACCAUUUUUAUUAGAGUAUUGUUUUGUCAAAGACAAUGCUGGAGUAGUCAGUGUACUGCUAAAGCAGUCUAGAUUAAAUGUGUCCCAAACAUAACACGCAGCCAUUAUUGACACACAAGAGAGUACACCUCUCAAACAUGUUCCAAUUGUGUCCAAGGUGUCAGUAUUUGUUGUGAGCGCCAUUAUUUUGCACUGCCUUAAUCCUCUUGGACAUGGAAUUCACCAUUCCUGCACAGGUGGUUCGCCUCAGAAUGCCACAGCACAUUAGAAUUCAAAUUUCCCUCAGUGAACUGUAGCUCCCCAAUGCGGGAAGCACUCAUGCAGCCCCAUUUAUCUAUCCACAAUCUGUCUAGCAGAGAGCCUUCUUUAGUCAGUCAGUGUAUGUUUGCAGACGUGAUCAUUCUGGCUCUGCACUGUCUGAUAUUAAACGUCUAGCAAAGUUUUCCAUUCCCUUUAAAGUUAUGGUAUGUGACAUUCUAUGGCAGCAGAUCAACUGACCCACGUGGAGUCACACAUUAACCUCACACUAAUCUCCGGCUCGGUCAGUUUGUUUUUAGGUCACAGAGGAGAGAACAUUCCUGCAGACCUUAGUUAGCUUAAAUGCUGUUUGAAGGGAGCCGAUGUAGUACAGACGUGGCAAGGGCAUGUCUCUUGUACGUCACCAUUAGAAUGGUCAAAUUAAGGUCAUGAUUUCAUAAUUUGGCCUCUCUUGUUUUAAGCACUUUAUCAGUCGCUGGUUUUAAACUACCACUUGCCAAAUUUUGGACUGCAGGCUAAAAUAAUCCAUUUAUGAGAGCAGAGUCCAACUUUUUGCGACAGUCAAGGUGUAAAUAUUUGCAUAGGUACUCAGCGCUUCCAGCACUCUUCAUAUUUUGCCUUGUUUUUAAUGAGUCUGGACAUUCUACUUAGUCAAAUUAUUGGGGAGUCUUAGAAUAGUCAACUAUUUGACGAUACAACUCGGAAGAGUCUGGUUCAACUGUCAAUCUCGCCAACGAAUCAUAUAAAAAUGUCACAUGAUCAAGAUACCAUUCUGACACAGAUGGGGGGUGCCCACGGGUGCUGCUGAGCAUACAUUUUGAAAAAGAAUGGACAGCCUAUUUUGUGCUAAUAAAAAAUUUAAAUGGACGUGUGUGUUUAACAGAAGAUCUAUACUUACCACGCCUGAAUGAAAUCACCCGCUUCAUCGAUGGGCUUAUUGGCUCGUAAUGCCUACUUUAAAAAAUCAUCCAAAGUCUGGAAGUAUUUUGAAAAGGUUACAGCUGACUCCAAAAACUGAAGUGCUUCUUGUGUCAGCAGCUUUUUAUAUGUCACGUGACAACAACCAACAGCGUAGCAUUUAAAACAGGUAAGACUGUUACGCCGACUGUGGAUUUUAAUGCAAGAAAUUCGUUUUGGAGAGUUGUUGUUUUGUUUUUUUUUGUUGUUCCUAUUUUAUGUGCACUUUUGUGAUAUA